rnacentral:rRNA from 1 species
UACGUAGGUGGCAAGCGUUGUCCGGAAUUACUGGGUGUAAAGGGCGUGUAGGCGGGGUGGCAAGUCAGAUGUGAAAUACCGCGGCUUAACUGCGGGGGUGCAUCUGAAACUGCUGUUCUUGAGUGUCGGAGAGGAAAGUGGAAUUCCCAGUGUAGCGGUGAAAUGCGUAGAGAUUGGGAGGAACACCAGUGGCGAAGGCGGCUUUCUGGACGAUAACUGACGCUGAGGCGCGAAAGCGUGGGUAGCAAAC